CCUACGGGAGGCAGCAGUGGGGAAUAUUGCGCAAUGGGCGAAAGCCUGACCCAGCGACGCCGCGUGAGGGAUGAAGGUCUUCGGAUCGGUAACCUCUGUUAGCAGGGAAGAACGGACACUGUGCUAAUCAGCAGUGAAUUGACGGUACCUGCAAAGGAAGCCCCGGCUAACUCCGUCCCAGCAGCCGCGGUAAUUCGGAGGGUGCGAGCGUUAAUCGGAAUUACUGGGCGUAAAGCGCUCGUGAGCGGGAUGUCAAGGCUAGGGUGAAAUCCCCGCGCUCAACUUGGGAACUGCCUUUGAAACUGGCAAACUUGAGUGUGUGAGAGGAUAGUGGAAGUCGAGGUGUAGGGGUGAAAUGCGUAGAUAUCUGGAGGAACAUCAGUGGCGAAGGCGACUAUCUGGCACAUAACUGACGCUGAGGAGCGAAAGCGUGGGUAGCAAACAGGAUUAGAUACCCGUGUAGUC
rnacentral:rRNA from 1 species